rnacentral:rRNA from 1 species
AUGGUCAAACUUGCCAAGAAAAAGGCAAAUGUGCAAGUGAGGGACAAAAUUUUGACACUCCUGGAUUCCUGGCAAGAAGCAUUUGGUGGGCCUGGUGGGAAGCACCCUCAGUUCUACUGGGCAUAUUCUGAACUUAAGCAAUCUGGUUUAGAAUUUCCUAGGCGCUCACCUGAGGCAGCAACAAUAUUCGCCCCUCACCUUCAACCAGGGAUCGGGAGUCCAGUCAAUUCAUCCUUGAGAGCUGAUGGGAUGAUUUCAUCUAGUGGCUCUCCUCUGAGUUUGUCAGACCUGCAACGCAUUUUAAGUGCCGCGGAGCUACUAAGUGAGAUGCUGAGAGAAGUGGAUCCAAAUGAUCAUGAGGCUGUGAAUGAUGAAAUUAUCGCGGAACUUGUGAACCAAUGCCGAUCAUACCAGAAAAAGAUCAUGAGUUUGGUUAGUUCAGUGAGUGAUGAGGACCUCUUGAGCCAAAGUCUGGACUUGAACGACAGAUUGCAAAUUCUGCUUUCCAAACACGAUGCAAUUGCAUCAGGUUCCCCUCUACCGGGUGAAGAAACGGAUGUGUUGAGUGAAUUACCCAGAGGGACCACUACAACCCCUGCAGUAACAGUUGUUCCCGAAACUGCCAUUGUACCAGCUUUUGUCUUGGAUGAUGAAGAGGAAGAGGAGGAAGAUGAUGAGUUCUCUCAGUUAGCUCGCAGGAAUUCGAGAUUCAGGUCAGCAAAUGACAAGAGCGCCUCUUCAGGCGUAGGCGCAUCAUCGUCGUCCACGCAGGAUGGAACGGCAAGCUCAGCAGCUUCUGUGACCACUACAGCAUCACCAUCUACUUCAAGCAGUGCAUUAGCAUUGCCUGAUCAUCUAGCUCCUAUAAAGACUUCUCCAGAAGACAAGAUUAUGAGCGACCUUCUUGCGCUCACCAUAGUGUCAGGCCCAUCACCUGAACCUGCCUUGCAUCCUGGUGGUUCCCCAACCAGUUAUCAUCCACAGCCUCAUUAUGUAGGCCCAGAACACACAGCUGCAGCGCACAAUAGCUACGUCGCUCCUUGGGCUCAGCAUCAACCUCAAACUGCACCCAUCAAGCAGCAGCAGCAGGAGCAGGCACCACCACCUCAACCACAAUUUCCUUACAACCCAUCUCCUUACCCGCCGCCACCAUGGGCCCCUCAGGACAACACCGAGUCAAACCCUUUCGUGGCAUCUUCAUCGCAGCAACUUUCAACCUCCAGCUCGCCUCUUAAAGUACCGUUGAACAUGAGGCCUCUACAGCAAUCACAAUCUUUCGGCGUACCGCUUCGAAGUGCUGCGUCAGAUUCACCGACAAACAAGAGCCUGAAGCAACCCAUGUCUGCAGGGUCUCGCCGGCCAUCUUAUGUUCCUUCUAACAAGUUCUUUGAUGAUCUGCUCGAGAGAAAUGCGGAUGGCACUCUGAAAACGGGCAGCACGGUAAUUGGAGGCACGUCCAGUCCAUACAAACCGUAG